rnacentral:rRNA from 1 species
AGAGUUUGAUCCUGGCUCAGGAUAAACGCUGGCGGCGUGCAUGAGACAUGCAAGUCGCACGAGGGCUUCGGCCCGAGUGGCAGACGGCUGAGUAACGCGUAGGAAUCUACCCUCCAGUGGGGAAUAACGCGCUGAAAGGCGCGCUAAUACCGCAUACGGUCGUGGGGCAACCCACGAAGAAAGCCGCAAGGUGCUGGAGGAGGAGCCUGCGUCCGAUUAGCUGGUUGGUGGGGUAACGGCCUACCAAGGCGAUGAUCGGUAGCUGGUCUGAGAGGAUGAUCAGCCAGACUGGGACUGAGACACGGUCCAGACUCCUACGGGAGGCAGCAGUGGGGAAUUUUGGACAAUGGGGGCAACCCUGAUCCAGCCAUGCCGCGUGAGUGAAGAAGGCCUUCGGGUUGUAAAGCUCUUUCGGCCGGAACGAAACGGUCACGGCUAAUACCCGUGACUACUGACGGUACCGGAAGAAGAAGCACCGGCCAACUACGUGCCAGCAGCCGCGGUAAUACGUAGGGUGCAAGCGUUAAUCGGAAUUACUGGGCGUAAAGCGUGCGCAGGCGGCGACUUGUGUCAGGUGUGAAAUCCCCGGGCUUAACCUGGGAAUUGCGCUUGAAACUAGGUUGCUCGAGUUCAGUAGAGGGGGGUGGAAUUCCACGUGUAGCAGUGAAAUGCGUAGAGAUGUGGAGGAACACCAAUGGCGAAGGCGGCUUUCUGGUCUGUAACUGACACUGAGGCGCGAAAGCGUGGGGAGCAAACAGGAUUAGAUACCCUGGUAGUCCACGCCGUAAACGAUGAGUGCUAAGUGUUAGGGGGUUUCCGCCCCUUAGUGCUGCAGCUAACGCAUUAAGCACUCCGCCUGGGGAGUACGGUCGCAAGACUGAAACUCAAAGGAAUUGACGG